UUAAUUUUUGGUCAAAUUUGUUUUAAGCUUUUUGUCACCAAUAAAACAUGAACAAACGGUCCCUGCUUUUCGCGUGGGGCCGUCCCUGAAAGGGUGUCCUGGGUGGUCAGCGACAGCCACACUCAUCCACCACCAUGUCCUCGUAGUGGCGCAGCACCACGUUGUCACUAUUAUCGAAGAAGAGCACGGAGAUAGGCGACAGACGCUCUGGCACGCAGCAGGGCGAGCCUACACCCGGGGUGGUCGCAAAAACGGUGGCAGACAGGGAGCAUUUUCCUCCCAGGCGGUGUCCAAGAGAGUCAGCAGAGUCCACUGCGUCCAGGACCAGUGGGCUGGUGACCGUAGGUCGAGGGUGCUUUGAGGUCCUGGAGGGGGCGUGUCCAGACCCCACUUACCCAGAGGGCAGGACUGGGCUGGGUCCCAAGGUGGGUGGUCGAGAAUUGACCUGAAAGGCGGAGCUGCUGGCAGCCAGAGUCCCUGGAGAAGGGUGGCAUCCUGCAUCUUAGGGCGGGGCCAUCGUCCUGCAGGCGUGGCCAUGCCGCCAAAGGCGAGGCCAGGCCUCCAGGGGUGGGAGCAGACCUCCGGGGACUGGGUCCAGUCUCCAGGGGCGGGGCCAGUAUCCCAGGUAGGACGGGACAGAGUCCUGGAUGGCGGGAGUUGAGGACAAGAGACUCAGAAGAGUUUGUCCUUCACCAGGCCAUUCCUUAGAGGCUUCCUAGGGGCCAGAAGUAGAGACAGAUUAGUUUGGGAUGCCCAUGCUUCCUUCUCCCUGUCGAAUAACUUCACCUCCCCUACUUCCACCUCCGCAAGGAUCCUCUCCCAACCCCACCCCCCAGACAGGUAGAAUUCACUAGGGUCCCUGCCAAACAGCACUUGCUCCCUGGUUCCCACCCAAACCAUCCUGAACACUCAGAAUCUUUGACAAAGUGUGAAAGGUCCCCCCCCCCCCCCGGUGCUGGGGGUGGAAGGCAGACCUCGGCUACACUCUAUGUCAGAGCAUUCGUCCUGUCACUCAGAGAAUGGCAGCCUGAUGACUAAGCUAUUCUUGCAGGAAUUAUUGGCCAGACUGAGGUUCCCUCAAUAAGAGAAAAGCCUAGUAGUUUCUGCCUCUCCCCUCCCAGCCUUCAGUAGACAGCUCCUGAGGGAGGUGCACAGGGAGCUAUGUUGGCAGGGGUCCCUGGUGUCCCUCAUCUCUGUGCAGUUUGUGGUCUUGGGGAGCAGGUAGCUCCAGGGAUGGUAGUCAGAGGUCAGGCCUCCAGGGCCUGAUGUGCUGAAUUCCCAAGCAUUACUCUAUAUAUGAGGUCUGUAGCAAGUGGGCCUUCCUGCCUCAUAUGGGUUAAGUGUCUCCCAAACCUGUCUCUUAAGCCUUGUGGAAACCUCUAGAAUGUUCUAGAAGCUUCCUUAAUAUGUCCUCACCAUCUCUCUACAGACCUCAUGGCUCACAUUAAACAUUCCACUUCAAGGGCUGGGUGGUAGCUGACACUUGGGAGGCAGAGACAGAGGCAGAUGAAUCUGAGUUGGAGGCCAGCCCUACAGAGUGACAGAGUGAAUUCCAGGACAGAGAAACCCUGUCUUGAAAAACAAGACAAAAAGAUACCACUUCAAGGCAACACACCCCAAAUGAGCCCCUCUGUCCUCUCUGAACCCCACCUAGGCAAACAGCAGUUUGAGCCCUGAGCCUGGGCUCACCUACUCCUCGAUCUGAUGCUUCCCCAAGCCAGCUGUUCCCAUAGCAGAGCGAGACAGACUGGCUGGCUGUCCCUCCAGCACGC
rnacentral:lncRNA from 1 species